CAGGUAGGACUACCCGCUGAACUUAAGCAUAUCAAUAAGCGGAGGAAAAGAAACUAACAAGGAUUCCCCUAGUAACUGCGAGUGAAGCGGGAAAAGCUCAAAUUUAAAAUCUGGCAGUUUCACUGUCCGAGUUGUAAUCUAGAGAAGUGUUAUCCGCGUUGGACCGUGUACAAGUCUCCUGGAAUGGAGCGUCAUAGAGGGUGAGAAUCCCGUCUUUGACACGGACUACCAAGGCUUUGUGAUGCGCUCUCAAAGAGUCGAGUUGUUUGGGAAUGCAGCUCAAAAUGGGUGGUAAAUUCCAUCUAAAGCUAAAUAUUGGCGAGAGACCGAUAGCGAACAAGUACCGUGAGGGAAAGAUGAAAAGAACUUUGGAAAGAGAGUUAAACAGUACGUGAAAUUGCUGAAAGGGAAACGCUUGAAGUCAGUCGCGUUGUCCAGGAAUCAACCUUACUUUUGUUGGGUGUACUUUCUGGUUAACGGGUCAACAUCAAUUUUGACCGUUGGAUAAAGUCAUUGGGAAUGUGGCAUCUUCGGAUGUGUUAUAGCCUUUUGUCGCAWACAACGGUUGGGAUUGAGGAACUCAGCACGCCGCAAGGCCGGGUUUUUAACCACGUUCGUGCUUAGGAUGUUGGCAUAAUGGCUUUAAUCGACCCGUCUUGAAACACGGACCAAGGAGUCUAACAUGCCUGCGAGUAUUUGGGUGGUAAACCCGAGUGCGUAAUGAAAGUGAAAGUUGAGAUCCCUGUCGCGGGGAGCAUCGACGCCCGGACCAGACCUUUUGUGACGGAUCCGCGGUAGAGCAUGUAUGUUGGGACCCGAAAGAUGGUGAACUAUGCCUGAAUAGGGUGAAGCCAGAGGAAACUCUGGUGGAGGCUCGUAGCGAUUCUGACGUGCAAAUCGAUCGUCAAAUUUGGGUAUAGGGGCGAAAGACUAAUCGAACCAUCUAGUAGCUGGUUCCU
rnacentral:rRNA from 1 species